CACUCCUACGGGAGGCAGCAGUGGGGAAUAUUGCACAAUGGGCGCAAGCCUGAUGCAGCCAUGCCGCGUGUAUGAAGAAGGCCUUCGGGUUGUAAAGUACUUUCAGCGGGGAGGAAGGCAAUACGGUUAAUAACCGUGUUGAUUGACGUUACCCGCAGAAGAAGCACCGGCUAACUCCGUGCCAGCAGCCGCGGUAAUACGGAGGGUGCAAGCGUUAAUCGGAAUUACUGGGCGUAAAGCGCACGCAGGCGGUCUGUCAAGUCGGAUGUGAAAUCCCCGGGCUCAACCUGGGAACUGCAUUCGAAACUGGCAGGCUUGAGUCUUGUAGAGGGGGGUAGAAUUCCAGGUGUAGCGGUGAAAUGCGUAGAGAUCUGGAGGAAUACCGGUGGCGAAGGCGGCCCCCUGGACAAAGACUGACGCUCAGGUGCGAAAGCGUGGGGAGCAAACAGGAUUAGAAACCCCAGUAGUCCCA
rnacentral:rRNA from 1 species